GCGUAGUCUUUGCAGAGUUUCUGAUUGUUUUUCUCUUUCUUUUUUGGUGUAGGUGCUUCUUCUUCCUUCCACUAUCCUUUGUAUUUUUCUUCUCGAAUGAGAGAAAUGGCCUCUAGAGAUUCUGACUUUGUGCUAUUAGGAUAUCGAUCCGAGCUAUCUAAGAGGGAGAGGGAUAUAGUAGUGCUUCAUAAACAGUACCAAAUCCCUCUAGUGUUUCAGCUAGAAGUU
rnacentral:lncRNA from 1 species